rnacentral:rRNA from 1 species
AUAACUUUCAACAAUGGAUCUCUUGGCUCUCGCAUCGAUGAAGAACGCAGCGAAAUGCGAUAAGUAAUGUGAGUUGCAGAAUUCAGUGAAUCAUCGAAUGUUUGAACGCAUCUUGCACUCCUCAGUACUCUGAGGAGUAUGCCUGUUUGAGUGUCGUUAAA